CAUUAAAAAUUUUAUCCAUUUUUACUGUUAAAAACUAGUGUGACUAAUAAAAUAACCAGAUAAUUACACGUCACAAGGACUAGUUUUUAAUGGUAAAAAUUAAUGAAAUUUUUAAUA
rfam:Gossypium hirsutum cultivar TM-1 chromosome 16, whole genome shotgun sequence